AUUGAACGCUGGCGGCAGGCCUAACACAUGCAAGUCGAGCGGCAGCGGGAAAGUAGCUUGCUACUUUUGCCGGCGAGCGGCGGACGGGUGAGUAAUGCCUGGGAAAUUGCCCAGUCGAGGGGGAUAACAGUUGGAAACGACUGCUAAUACCGCAUACGCCCUACGGGGGAAAGCAGGGGACCUUCGGGCCUUGCGCGAUCGGAUAUGCCCAGGUGGGAUUAGCUAGUUGGUGAGGUAAUGGCUCACCAAGGCGACUAUCCCUAGCUGGUCUGAGAGGAUGAUCAGCCACACUGGAACUGAGACACGGUCCAGACUCCUACGGGAGGCAGCAUUGGGGAAUAUUGCACAAAGGGGGAAACCCUGAUGCAGCCAUGCCGCGUGUGUGAAGAAGGCCUUCGGGUUGUAAAGCACUUUCAGCGAGGAGGAAAGGUUGAUGCCUAAUACGUAUCAACUGUGACGUUACUCGCAGAAGAAGCACCGGCUAACUCCGUGCCAGCCGCCGCCGUAACAC
rnacentral:rRNA from 1 species